CAAAGAACUUUGAAGAGAGAGUUCAAGAGGGCGUGAAACCGUUUGGAAGGAAACGGAUAGAGCCGACGACGGUCGGCGGGAUUCAGUUCGCCGGUCAGGACCCGGAUUCGUUCGCGGACAGAUCGCCGCUGCGGGUUCGGGCUGCGUGCCGGCGGAUGCAUUUCCCGUCGACGAGCGUCGAGGGCGACGGCGACGCGGAACGAAACCCAGGGUGCCGGCCUCGUUCGCGGGGUGUCCCACCUGGGCGGAGGUCCGUCGUCGCCGCCGUUUUGAAGACGUCCGCUCUGCUCGGUAGUCCGGCUACUUGGUCGAAUGAAUCUGGGCGGCUAGCUUGCUCGCCGUUCUAACCCUCGGCUAGGUUCUGUUGGGCGAUCCGAGCGACGUCGACCUCGGCGUCAAAGUCGGCGACCUAUCCGACCCGUCUUGAAACACGGACCAAGGAGUCUAACAUGUGUGCGAGUCACUGGGCGGCAAACCCAGAGGCGAAAUGAAAGUGAAGACCGGCUCGAUCGGUUGAUACGGGAUCUUCCCUCGAGGGAGCGCACCGUAGCCCCGUCUCGUUAGCUUGUCUAAAGGGCGGAGGAAGAGCAUACACGUUGGGACCCGAAAGAUGGUGAACUAUGCCUGAGCAGGACGAAGCCAGAGGAAACUCUGGUGGAGGUCCGAAGCGGUUCUGACGUGCAAAUCGAUCGUCAGACUUGGGUAUAGGGGCGAAAGACUAAUCGAACCAUC
rnacentral:rRNA from 1 species